rnacentral:rRNA from 1 species
UACGGGAGGCAGCAGUGGGGAAUAUUGCACAAUGGGCGCAAGCCUGAUGCAGCCAUGCCGCGUGUAUGAAGAAGGCCUUCGGGUUGUAAAGUACUUUCAGCGGGGAGGAAGGCGAUGCGGUUAAUAACCGCGUCGAUUGACGUUACCCGCAGAAGAAGCACCGGCUAACUCCGUGCCAGCAGCCGCGGUAAUACGGAGGGUGCAAGCGUUAAUCGGAAUUACUGGGCGUAAAGCGCACGCAGGCGGUCUGUUAAGUCAGAUGUGAAAUCCCCCGGGCUUAACCUGGGAACUGCAUUUUGAAACUGGCAGGCUUGAGUCUUGUAGAGGGGGUAGAAUUCCAGGUGUAGCGGUGAAAUGCGUAGAGAUCUGGAGGAAUACCGGUGGCGAAGGCGGCCCCUGGACAAGACUGACGCUCAGGUGCGAAAGCGUGGGGAGCGAAACAGGAUUAGAUACC